UAGCUCAGUUGGAUAGAGCAACGGCCUUCUAAGCCGUGGGUCGGGGGUUCGAAUCCCUUCGG
rnacentral:tRNA from 1 species